AUGGUAAGCACCUUAGAGAUACCAGAAGAGAGGUAUAAGGUUUUUCCUGUAUUUAUUUAUGUAUUGGUGAAUCGUUAUGGGCUAAGAGUAGGCGUGCCGAGGAAGGCGGCAGAAGCGAGUGUGAAAGAGUUCUGUGCCACGUUGUCUGUGUUCUUUCUUGCAGUCAAGGCAGGCGAGGACGGAAGGAUAGCGCGAGUCAGCGCGACCUACAGCGAGGGAGUGAAGGAGAGGCCGCACAAGAGCAGGCCGGUCGAGCACAGUAGCGGAGCGUUCUGCAGCGGAGACGGGCGGGCACCGCGGCCCGGCUGUCGCGGCAUCCCCUCAUUGGAAGAGGUUCGAGCGGUCGGAGGAGCGGAGUCGGCACGGAGACGAUGCGUCGGCGUGGAGUCGGGAAUGAGAUGGACUGAGGAGGAGCUGAGUUCUGUAUCCUGAUGAAGAAAAAGACUUUGCUUUAAUACAAGCAACAAGAAACAUCUCUUUACAGUGACUCAAACUCUAUGCCUUAAGGGGUUUAGAGGAACUUCCCAGAAAAAAAG
rnacentral:lncRNA from 1 species